CCCUACGGGGUGCAGCAGGCGCGAAACCUUUACAAUGCACGAAAGUGUGAUAAGGGAAUCCCAAGUGCUUAUGCUUUGCAUAGGCUUUUGCCAAGAGUAAAUAUCUUGGCGAAUAAGCAGUGGGUAAGACUGGUGCCAGCAGCCGCGGUAACACCAGCGCUGCAAGUAGCAAUCAUGAUUAUUGGGCCUAAAGCGUCCGUAGCCGGUUUGAUAAGUCUUUUGUGAAAUCGUUGCGCUUAACGUAACGGUAUGCAAAAGAUACUGUUGAACUUGAAACUGGAAGGAGUUAGGGGUAUUCUAAGGGGAGCGGUAAAAUGCUAUAAUCCUUAGAAGACCACCUGUGGCGAAAGCGCCUAACUAGUACAGCUUUGACGGUGAGGGACGAAAGCCAGGGGAGCGAACCGGAUUAGAUACCCGAGUAGUCCUGGCCAUAAACUCUGCGAGCAAGGUGUUACAUAUUCUUCGUGAAUGUGUAGUGUCGAAAUGAAGAUGUUAAGCUCGCCGCCUGGGAAGUAUGGUCGCAAGACUGAAACUUAAAGGAAUUGGCGGGGGAGCAC
rnacentral:rRNA from 1 species